AGUCAGUUCAGGCAGACCCGAAACCGGGUGAUCUACCCAUGUCCAGGUUGAAGUUUCCGUAAAAGGAAAUGGAGGACCGAACGCACAUCCGUUGAAAAGGGUGGCGAUGAGGUGUGGGUAGGGGAGAAAUUCCAAUCGAACCCGGAGAUAGCUGGUUCUCCUCGAAAUAGCUUUAGGGCUAGCCUCGUAUUAGUUUAGCGGAGGUAGAGCACUGAAUUCUUAAGGGGGCGUCAAAGCUUACCAAGAGAUAUCAAACUCCGAAUGCCGCAUAAAUGAUGUACGGGAGUCAGACUGCACGAGAUAAGUUGGGCAGUCAAAAGGGAAAGAGCCCAGACCACCAGCUAAGGUCCCAAAGUGCGUGUUAAGUGGAAAAGGAUGUGGGAUUUCGAAGACAACUAGGAUGUUGGCUCAGAAGCAGCCACACAUUCAAAGAGUGCGUAAUAGCUCACUAGUCGAGAGGUCCUGCGCCGAAAAUGUCCGGGGCUGAAACACGACACCGAAGCUGUGGAAUUGACUUAUGGUCAAUUGGUAGAGGAGCAUUCUUAACUGCGGCGAAGCGUUACCGUAAGGAGGCGUGGAGCGUUAAGAAGAGAGAAUGCCGGAAUGAGUAGCGAGAUGGAGGUGGGAAUCCUCCAGGCCGAAUAUCUAAGGUUUCCAGAGUAAAGCUGAUCUGCUCUGGGUAAGUCGGGGCCUAAGGCGAGGUCGAAAGACGUAGUCGAUGGACAACAGGUUGAAAUUCCUGUACCGCGUAUUAUCAGAACUGUGGGGACACAGAACCGAAGCCAAACCCGGGAAUGAAAAGACCGGGGCAAGCGCCGGACUGGUUAGACUGGAAAAUCCGUUUAACAACAGGAAAGCGCGACGCGUACCGAACAAAAGUAGGGAAGUUGGUAUAGGGGCUGUCAAGAAAAGCCGCUAUUGCGUAAUACGUGCCCGUACCGUAAACCGACACAGGUGGAUGAGGAGAGAAUCCUAAGGCCGGCGGGAGAAGCAUUGUUAAGGAACUCGGCAAAAUGACCCUGUAACUUCGGGAUAAAGGGUGCCCACGAGAGUGGGCCGCAGAGAAUAGGCUCAAGCAACUGUUUAGCAAAAACACAGGUCUAUGCAAAACCGAAAGGUGAGGUAUAUGCUGACGCCUGCCCGGUGCUGGAAGGUUAAGAGGAGAGGUUAGGAGCAAUCCGAAGCUUUGAAUUUAAGCCCCAGUAAACGGCGGCCGUAACUAUAACGGUCCUAAGGUAGCGAAAUUCCUUGUCGGGUAAGUUCCGACCCGCACGAAAGGCGUAAUGAUUUGAGCGCUGUCUCGACAAUGCACCCGGUGAAAUUGAAGUACCAGUGAAGAUGCUGGU
rnacentral:rRNA from 1 species